rnacentral:rRNA from 1 species
AGAGGGGGCAAGCGUUGCUCGGAAUUACUGGGCGUAAAGGGCGCGUAGGCGGGAUGGCAAGUCGGUCGUGAAAUCCCUCGGCUCAACCGAGGAACGUCGAUCGAUACUGCUGUUCUUGAGGAUUGCAGAGGAGACUGGAAUUCCCGGUGUAGCGGUGAAAUGUGUAGAGAUCGGGAGGAACACCGGUGGCGAAGGCGGGUCUCUGGGCAAUUCCUGACGCUGAGGCGCGAAAGCGUGGGGAGCAAACGGGAUUAGAUACCCCGGUAGUCCACGCUGUAAACGAUGACGACUAGGUGUGGGGGGGUUCAGUCCCUUCCGUGCCGCAGCUAACGCAUUAAGUCGUCCGCCUGGGGAGUACGGCCGCAAGGUUG